rnacentral:sRNA from 1 species
GCUGGGCAGGGUGGCGCUUGCUUAUAACCCAGUGACUUAGGAGGCUGAGGCAGGAAGAUUGCAAGUUCAAGGCCAGCCUGGGCAACUUGGCAAGACCCUGUCUCAA